CUACGGGUCGCUCCAGUGAGGAAUUUUGCGCAAUGGGGGGAACCCUGACGCAGCAACACCGCGUGAGUGAUGAAGGCUUUCGGGUCGUAAAGCUCUGUCAAGUGGGAAGAACCUAUGCAGUGUUAAUAUCACUGUAUACUGACGGUACCACUGAAGGAAGCACCGGCUAACUCCGUGCCAGCAGCCGCGGUAAUACGGGGGGUGCAAGCGUUAUUCGGAAUCAUUGGGCGUAAAGGGCACGUAGGCGGCUUGGUAAGUCAGAUGUGAAAGCCCGGGGCUUAACCCCGGAAGUGCAUUUGAUACUGUCAGGCUUGAGUAUGGGAGAGGGAAGUGGAAUUCCUGGUAUAGAGGUGAAAUUCGUAGAUAUCAGGAGGAACACCGGUGGCGAAGGCGACUUCCUGGACCAAUACUGACGCUGAGGUGCGAAGGCGUGGGUAGCAAACAGGAUUAGAUACCCGUGUAGUC
rnacentral:rRNA from 1 species